GUGCUUACUUCAGCAGCACAUAUACUAAAAUUGGAGCAAUACAGAGAAAAUUAGCAUGGACGCUGUGCAAGGUUGACACGCAAAUUCAUGAAGCAUUCCAUAUUUUU
ensembl:snRNA U6 U6 spliceosomal RNA